GCACCGAUCCCAGCGAUACCAUAGAAGGCUAUAGAGAGGAUAGAAUUUGUUAGUAAUGGAGCGCGCGUCUAACUGUUAGAGCGCGUUAUUGCUCUCAACUGAUCGUAUUCUAAUCAAAAAUUCAACUAAACUUGGUAAUAUACGUUUGGAGAUUGAAAAGUCGAAAUUGAAUUUUCAAAAAAUAAAACCAAAAUCAAAAAACAAAAAACAAUAAACAAAAAAGUACAAAAUAAAAUAAUUAUUCGAAUAGUGGACUUGAGUUUAGUUUUUGUUCGAACACAAGAGACUCGCAAACGACGGCGCAAACAGUGGCGGUAACGACGACGCACGGUGACGAUGACGUUAGCGAUAUUGGCGGCGCGGCGGCAGAGUUCAACUCAUUUAGUCAAGCUCUACGGAGACAGUGGCGGUGCAAACAUAAACUCGAUGUACUAUAACUCUGGGGCAACUAUAUAGAGGAAGCUUAUUUUUGGUGGGGUUCGCACUCGAUUGACUUUAGAGUACAAAAUAAAAUAGAAGCACUACCAUACAACAAAAACAACAAAGUGCACAGAGUAUCUAUAGAAAAUAGUUUUUGUAUCUUGAGUGCGCUGAAGUGGGACAUAAUCUAAAGGCUUAACACUAAACAGGGUUGGGUUAUAGGUGAACAAUAUUGGGUAAGGCGCUAUUGAUUUUGUUCGAUUGAAUGAUGGAUUGAGAAAUAAGGGCACAGAUAUGUUAGCAGUAACUUUCGUUUUGGAACAUUCUAAUGUAACCACUUUGGUAUACACCACACUCUGGCGAUGUAGUGCAAUAAUUCCAAAUUACGUUAUUACCUUAUUCUGGAAAAAAAAUGAAAAAAGUGCGACAUUCAAACUUUACUGAUAACUCCAAUUUGGUGCCGCCAAAAUUAUUAUUUGUGUGCAUUAACACAAAUUUUCAUUUCAGUAAGUUUUGAAAAUUCAUCAUGAAUUUGUUUAAGUCCAAAACAAAUUUUCAAAAUUGUUGAAACUUACUUGAAAAAAUAAAUAUAUUGACGAAGUAAUACAGCAAUUCGUAUAUUUAAAGGCUUUAAGUGAAAAAGCUUUUUUUCUGGUUAAAUUGUCUUCAUUCAUAAGCAAAACUGCCAUGUAUGGAUUGAAGACAAUUCUGAAGCUAUUAACGAAUUACCAUUU